AAGGAGUCUGACAUGUGUGCG
rnacentral:snRNA from 1 species